CUACCUUAUUCCCUUGUAUGCCGUUCGGGAGUUUGGAGCAUUCACUUAUUGGCGGUUCGUGAGUUUUGGUGAUUAUACAGUAGCUGUGCCUGACUCUGAAAGGGGGAUUAUCGUCUAAGCGGUUUUUUUCCCCUUUUGUGCAAAACGGUCCGUUACAAUUGGUGGCAGCGGUGGGAUCGUUCCUACAGCCAGAAGGACAGCUACAGGAAACACCGUUUCUUUGGAUUUACAAGUGGGGGCAACGCAUGUCCCAGUACAGCGACCCUAAAAGCAACAGAAUGGAACCAGCAGUGUUAUACAAGGAGGAGGACCUGGAUGGCCGGGAUGCAUUAAGGAAAGGCAUCUGGUACCAGGCCCUGGAUAAUGUACAAUACCAGCGGGG